AGUGAAUAGAUACCCAGGUAGUCCCAGCUGUAAACGAUGCGCGUUAGGUGUAUCGGUGACCACGAGUCACCGAGGUGCCGAAGAGAAAUCGUGAAACGUGCCGCCUGGGAAGUACGGUCGCAAGGCUGAAACUUAAAGGAAUUGGCGGGGGAGCACCACAACAGGUGGAGCCUGCGGUUUAAUCGGACUCAACGCCGGGAAGCUCACCGGAUAAGACAGCUGAAUGAUAGCCGGGUUGAAGACUCUGCUUGACUAGCUGAGAGGAGGUGCAUGGCCGUCGUCAGUUCGUACUGUGAAGCAUCCUGUUAAGUCAGGCAACGAGCGAGACCCACGCCAACAGUUGCCAGCAUGUCCUCCGGGAUGGUGGGGACACUGUUGGGACCGCCUCUGCUAAAGAGGAGGAAGGAAUGGGCAACGGUAGGUCAGCAUGCCCCGAAUUAUCCGGGCUACACGCGGGCUACAAUGGUCAGGACAAUGGGUAUCAACACCGAAAGGUGAAGGCAAUCUCCUAAACCUGUCCUUAGUUCGGAUU
rnacentral:rRNA from 1 species